CAAUAGCGUAUAUUAAAGUUGUUGCAGUUAAAAAGCUCGUAGUUGAAAUUCUGGUUGCCAGGGCGUCAAGUCUUCGGACGGGCGUGCCUGCAGCCAUCCGCUUGUAAACAUAUGUCCAUCCUUCACUGGUUGGCUAUGUGAGCAAGCAUUUACCUUGAGAAAAACAGAGUGUUCCAGGCAGGUAUGUCCGGAAUGCAUUAGCAUGGAAUAAUAGAAUAUGACUGAAGUCUAUUUAUUGGUUUAGGGCUACAGUAAUGAUUAAUAGGAACAGUCGGGGGCAUUAGUACUUGACAGUCAGAGGUGAAAUUCUUGGAUUUGUCAAAGACUAACUAAUGCGAAAGCAUUUGUCAAGGAUGUUUUCAUUAA
rnacentral:rRNA from 1 species